CCUACGGGAAGCAGCAGUGGGGAAUAUUGGACAAUGGGCGAAAGCCUGAUCCAGCAAUGCCGCGUGAGUGAUGAAGGCCUUAGGGUUGUAAAGCUCUUUUACCAGGGAUGAUAAUGACAGUACCUGGAGAAUAAGCUCCGGCUAACUCCGUGCCAGCAGCCGCGGUAAUACGGAGGGAGCUAGCGUUAUUCGGAAUUACUGGGCGUAAAGCGUACGUAGGCGGUUAUUCAAGUCAGAGGUGAAAGCCCGGGGCUCAACCCCGGAACUGCCUUUGAAACUAGAUAACUAGAGUCUUGGAGAGGUUAGUGGAAUUCCGAGUGUAGAGGUGAAAUUCGUAGAUAUUCGGAAGAACACCAGUGGCGAAGGCGACUAACUGGACAAGUACUGACGCUGAGGUACGAAAGCGUGGGGAGCAAACAGGAUUAGAUACCCUGGUAGUCCACGCCGUAAACGAUGAUAACUAGCUGUCCGGGCACUUGGUGCCUGGGUGGCGCAGCUAACGCAUUAAGUUAUCCGCCUGGGGAGUACGGUCGCAAGNUUAAAACUCAAAGGAAUUGACGG
rnacentral:rRNA from 1 species